UUUUUCUCCCGUGAAGUAAAUUGGCUUUUUGGCGGCCUUGUCAUACUCCAAAACGCGUGAAAUUUGGCAUGCACAUCAGGACUGGCGAAAAAUUUGAUAUUUUAUGGGAGUUGCGCAUGUGCGUGGCAAAAUGGCUCUAUAGCGCCACCUGCAAAGUUGAAAAAGUAGUCAUUAGGCCAACUGCCACAAUGUUUCAUGUACAGCUACAAUAUUUGGUGGGCGUAUGCAGAACAUCCGGACACACCAAAAAGUCAAUUACAGCCACGCCCUAAACCCAACAGGAAGUCGGCCAUCUUCAAUUUGCUGUAAAUUUUUCAAACUUAAUCGCUCCUCGGGAAAUGAAUUGCCUUUUUGGCGGCCUUAUCAUGAACCAAAACGCGUGAAAUUUGGCGUGCACAUCAGGACUGGCGAAAAAUUUGAUAUUUUAUGGGAGUUGCGCAUAUGUGUGGAAAAAUGGCUCUAUAGCGCCACCUGCAAAAUUGAAAAAGUGGUCAUUAGGCCAACUUCCACAAUGUUUUAUUUACAGCUACAAUAUUUGGUGGGCAUAUGCACCACAUCAGGACACACCAAAAAGUCAAUCACAGCCACACCCUAAACCCAACAGGAAGUCGGCCAUCUUGAAUUUGCUGUACAUCUGUCAAAAUUUAUAGCUCCUAGUGGAUAAGUCUGAGAGAACUGAAAUUUGGCCAGUACAUGCACCAGACCUUUCUGAUGAAAAGUUAUCAAAAACUCAACCAGAAGCCAAAAGGUGUGGCCAUGGCGGAGCCUCAAACAACUGAUCCUUUGCCAUGAAACAGGAAUUGGUGUCUAAUUCUUCUCAACAUGCUCCAAUCUGCCUGAAACUUUACAUGUAUGAUGACAGUCCUGUCCUGAUGUCAUCCACAUAGGGAUAUUGAUUGACAGUCAUAGCGCCACCUUGUGGUUUCAGGAAAUAGACAUCUUUUACACUUUCAUGCCCUAUUGUUACCCGGUUGAUCAUAUUCACUUCAAAUGCGGUGACAACAGGCUGAACACAUUGAUGAUGCAUCCCAGUGAAAAUGGUGACUUGUCAUCAAAGGGCGUGUCUGUGGCGGCCAAACCAAUUUCGAUGUUUCGCCAUGAAAAUUUAACAAUUCAUAUCUCAGCUGAACAACAUCCUAUCUGCCUCAGACUUCACAUGCUGGAUACCAGGUCCAGUCUGAACACAUCCACACUCAUAAAUUCUGAAAAAGUCAUAGCGCCACCUGUUGGUAAUAGUAAGUUUAAGGCCUUAUAUUUUCAGGUACAAUGGCCCCAAACUUGGUGAUAUCAUGCUGGAAAUUGGUCAGUCGAGUCUUCACCUCUUGACAAUCCCACACUGUGAAGGGUGUGACAUUUCAUGCAACGCUGUUGCCGUAGCAACCAAAUAUCGCCAUGAAAAACAAAGCCCUUUCUGACAGGUUAGGAAUACUCCAAUGCUCACAAAAAUUACCACACACAUCACCAUCGACCCAAGGAACAACACUGUAUGCAUCUCGGCACUGCACAUGCUAUAGCGCCCCCUACAGUAUUUUUAACAAACAGCCCCCCCAGCACGUUUCACCUACAUCCAUGAAAUUUGGGAGGCUUAUAGAGCACAUCAGGACGCACAAAAAAGCCUCUUGGAGCCAUGCCCUAAAUCCAACAGGAAGUUGGCCAUCUUGGAUUGAUUGUGAGAUUUUUGAUGAUUUUUCUCAUUUUUGAGAGUGAAUA